rnacentral:rRNA from 1 species
AGUGAACGCUGGCGGUAGGCCUAAUACAUGCAAGUCGAACGGCAGCACAGUAAGAGCUUGCUCUUACGGGUGGCGAGUGGCGGACGGGUGAGGAAUACAUCGGAAUCUACUUUUUCGUGGGGGAUAACGUAGGGAAACUUACGCUAAUACCGCAUACGACCUACGGGUGAAAGCAGGGGAUCUUCGGACCUUGCGCGAUUGAAUGAGCCGAUGUCGGAUUGGACAGUUGGCGGGGUAAAGGCCCACCACGGCGACGAACCGUAGCUGGUCUGAGAGGAUGAUCAGCCACACUGAGACUGAGACACGGUCCAGACUCCUACGGGAGGCAGCAGUGGGGAAUAUUGGACGAUGGGCGCAAGCCUGAUCCAGCCAUACCGCGUGGGUGAAGAAGGCCUUCGGGUUGUAAAGCCCUUUUGUUGGGAAAGAAAAGCAGCAGGUUAAUACCCCGCUGUUCUGACGGUACCCAAAGAAUAAGCACCGGCUAGCUUCGUG